GGAGAGGUGGCAGAGUGGUCGAAUGCGCGCGCUUGGAAAGCGCGUGAACCGCAAGGUUCCGGGGGUUCGAAUCCCUCCCUCUCCGCCA
rnacentral:tRNA from 1 species